rnacentral:rRNA from 2 species
UGCAGUCGAGCGAGGUUCUUCGGAACCUAGCGGCGGACGGGUGAGUAACACGUGGGUAACCUGCCUGUAAGACCGGGAUAACUUCGGGAAACCGAAGCUAAUACCGGAUAAUUUUAAGCAUCGCAUGAUGCUUGAUGGAAAGACGGCUUCGGCUGUCACUUACAGAUGGACCCGCGUCGCAAUAGCUAGUUGGUGAGGUAACGGCUCACCAAGGCGACCAUGCGUAGCCCACCUGAGAGGGUGAUCGGCCACACUGGGACUGAAACACGGCCCAGACUCCUACGGGAGGCAGCAGUAGGGAAUCUUCGGCAAUGGGCGAAAGCCUGACCGAACAACGCCGCGUGAGCGAUGAAGGCCUUCGGGUCGUAAAGCUCUGUUGUUAAGGAAGAACAAGUACGAGAGUAACUGCUCGUACCUUGACGGUACUUAACGAGAAAGCCACGGCUAACUACGUGCCAGCAGCCGCGGUAAUACGUAGGUGGCGAGCGUUAUCCGGAAUUAUUGGGCGUAAAGCGCGCGCAGGCGGUUUCUUAAGUCUGAAGUGAAAGCCCACGGCUCAACCGUGGAGGGUCAUUGGAAACUGGGAAACUUGAGUGCAGAAGAAGAAAGCGGAAUUCCACGUGUAGCGGUGAAAUGCGUAGAGAUGUGGAGGAACCCAGUGGCGAAAGCGGCUUUCUGGUCUGUAACUGACGCUGAAGCCGAAAGCGUGGGGAGCAACAGGAUUAGAUACCCUGGUAGUCCCGCCGUAAAGAUGAUGCUAAUGUUAGAGGGUUCCGCCUUAGUGCUGAAGUAACGCAUUAAGCCUCCGCCGGGGAGUACGUCGCAGACUGAACUCAAGGAUUGACGGGGCCGCACAGCGGGGAGCUGUGGUUUAAUCAAGCACGCGAGAACUUACCAGUCUUGACAUCUCUGACACCCUGAGAUAGGCUUUCCUUCGGGACAAAUGACAGUGGUGCAUGGUGUCGUCACUCUGUCGGAAA